rnacentral:rRNA from 1 species
AGUGAACGCUGGCGGUAGGCCUAACACAUGCAAGUCGAACGGCAGCACAGUAAGAGCUUGCUCUUACGGGUGGCGAGUGGCGGACGGGUGAGGAAUACAUCGGAAUCUACUUUUUCGUGGGGGAUAACGUAGGGAAACUUACGCUAAUACCGCAUACGACCUACGGGUGAAAGCAGGGGAUCUUCGGACCUUGCGCGAUUGAAUGAGCCGAUGUCGGAUUAGCUAGUUGGCGGGGUAAAGGCCCACCAAGGCGACGAUCCGUAGCUGGUCUGAGAGGAUGAUCCGCCCAACUGGAACUUAGGCACGGUCCAGACUCCUACGGGAGGCAGCAGUGGGGAAUAUUGGACAAUGGGGGGAAACCUUAUCCAACCAUACCGCGUGGGUGAAAGAGGCCUUCCGGUUGUAAAGCCCUUUUGUUGGGAAAAAAAAGCAACCAGUUAAUACCCCGGUGUUCUGACGGUACCCAAAGGAUAAGCCCCGGCUUACUUCGUG